ACGUGAUACGUAACAGUUUCUGGUACGACGAAUAACGUUCAAUAUCAAUAAUAAAGUUAAUUCCAAAUUGACAAACUGAAUCGUCCUUUGAUUGGCUAAUACAUGUACUUUCAUUUUCUGUUAACAAAACUGAUAAAGACGUAUCGAUUGAUGUUGAUUUUGGGUAUGUUGAACUGUCUGUUAACCAAUGCGGACCUUUAAUCCAUAAUUUGCUGUUUGUGUAUUGUUCGGCCGUUAUCCCUCGUGUUACUAGAUCAGCUGGGUUAUCGCUUGUAGGGCAAUACUUCCAUUCCCAUGAUGUUGUCAAUUCGUUUAUUUCAUUCACACGAUUUUGUAUGAAACGUUUUAAUGUCUUUGUUGACUUAAGCCAGUGUAAAACAAUCUGGCUA
rnacentral:lncRNA from 1 species